rnacentral:rRNA from 1 species
UUUAAUUCGAAGCAACGCGAAGAACCUUACCUAAGCUUGACAUCCCAAUGACAUCUCCUUAAUCGGAGAGUUCCCUUCGGGGACAUUGGUGACAGGUGGUGCAUGGUUGUCGUCAGCUCGUGUCGUGAGAUGUUGGGUUAAGUCCCGCAACGAGCGCAACCCUUGUCUUUAGUUGCCAUCAUUAAGUUGGGCACUCUAGAGAGACUGCCAGGGAUAACCUGGAGGAAGGUGGGGAUGACGUCAAAUCAUCAUGCCCCUUAUGCUUAGGGCUACACACGUGCUACAAGGGGUAGUACAGAGGGUUGCCAAGCCGUAAGGCGGAGCUAAUCCCUUAAAGCUACUCUCAGUUCGGAUUUUAGGCUGAAACUCGCCUACAUGAAGCUGGAGUUACUAGUAAUCGCAGAUCAGAAUGCUGCGGUGAAUGCGUUCCCGGGUCUUGUACACAC